AGGAAGGAAGGAAGGAAGGAAGGAAGGAAAGAAGGAAGGAUAUAAAAUAUAGGAGGGCAUAUUUAGCCAUUCAGUGGUGUUGCUGAAAUCCUCCUGAGCAAAGUUCCAUUUCUUCAAAACUUGAGGGCUUCCAGUUGUACCAAAAAGCCCAAUGAAAAUAAAUGAGACACAUUUCUAUUAGAUUUCUUUGGGCAGAAGUGGGGCAACACCUGUAUCUUGUCAGGUAAGGAAAAAUUUUCCUUCUGCUCCUCAACAAAAAAUAUCCUUUUCUUCAGCAAAGAGAGAGGAGUGUAAAUACUUUGACAUACAUAUGGUGAUUAACUAGAAAAUGGGAAAGUAAGCAUAGAAACAUGAGAAAAUUUAGCUCAGGUCACAGAUAAAUUUUCAGCUUCUUUUCUUUUGCUGGACCUGCUCAGCCUACAGCUUAACCAGUACAGCAGGCUACAACUAAUAUACGUAAUAACUGCUACAGAAGAAAGUUGUUUGUAUUAUUAAAAAUAGUGUCAGAACGCAAAAAAUUACCAAGAACAUAAAAGUAAAAGUAGAUAAUCUUUAAUUCUGGGAUAAAGGGCAACUAGAAUACAGGGCAUGUCUAUUGUCACAACGGAAGAGGUUUCAAAAAAGAGCAACUCAAAUCAGACAGAGAUGGAGGCCGUUAGUUGGCUUCGCCUCACCUGCCUUUGGGUGUCUAAAAUAAUUCAUUUGACCUGAACUAGUGAGCCAAAGUUCCCAUUGGAAGGAAACAGAUGUUUGAAAGUAACAAUUCAUCUGAACAGAUACCUGCCUUAGGUUAAAAGCAAGUGUCCUUUCAGGCUGUCUAUUUUUUUUCCUCUGAACACAAGGUGGACCUUCUGUUGGCUGCUCAAACUUCGGUGACGUUUCUGUUUGCUCAGGUUAGAGCAAUACUAGGCAACCCAGGAUAUGCACUGUCACCACAUAAAGCAUCAAUACCUUGUUGAGAUGAGGAAGACUUUUGUACUAGAUCUGGGAGGACCGUGGCAAAGAAAAGGUUGCAGGUUUACAAAAGUGGAUCUGAAGAAGGAAAAUCUCAUGACCAUUGGUACUGCUGGGUCUGAAGGGGCACAACUCUUCCAGAGCAGAAGUUUUUUCCUGUGAAUACAUUUGACUUAUACUGUUGAUUUUCUUGCCUUUUGUGCUCAUCCCAGAUAGCACUGCUGUUCAAGUAGGACAUAACAUAGAUUCUGUUGUAAUCAAGCAAUUAGCUGCACAAUUAAAUCUGAAGUUAGACAAGUGGUGUGAGCUGAGCUCCAAAACUACUUGUGAAGUUACUUCCAGGUUUAUUUGUUCCCUACUCAGUGGACUCCCACCUUCCCUUCUUCAACUCCCUUCUAAUACUUGUGGGAAUAAUAAUUAAGAACAAUAGCAAUAAAUCUCACUGUCAAGUUCCUGCAUACUGAGAUACUAAGCUACCACACUUUAACUUGGGCCUGUACCCUCACACAGCAGUGAGCUGAUUCAUCUUGCACCAGCUUAGAGAGGGGAGGGAGGAGCUCAUACCCAUCCCCACUCCCCUUUUUAUGUCUACUUUGGAAGGGAUUUCAGGGGUUGAUCUAGAUUGACAAAUUGUGUAAGAGGCAUUAGUACCUUCCCUUCCUUACCUACUGUACUACCUGCUUCCAUAGAACACAACAUAGUGGUAAUUAGAUUGUCAACCACUCUGUGCAACAGAAAACACAGCCAAAGCACUCUCAAGUUUUAAUAAAAAAAAUCCGCUCUACCGUGAA